UACGAAGGGGGCUAGCGUUGCUCGGAAUGACUGGGCGUAAAGGGCGCGUAGGCGGAUGGCACAGUCAGAUGUGAAAUUCCCGGGCUUAACCUGGGGGCUGCAUUUGAUACGUGUGAUCUAGAGUGAGGAAGAGGGUCGUGGAAUUCCCAGUGUAGAGGUGAAAUUCGUAGAUAUUGGGAAGAACACCGGUGGCGAAGGCGGCGACCUGGUCCUUGACUGACGCUGGAGGCGCGAAAGCUAGGGGAGCAAACAGG
rnacentral:rRNA from 1 species